rnacentral:rRNA from 1 species
UACAGAGGUGGCAAGCGUUGUUCGGAAUUACUGGGCGUAAAGCGCACGCAGGUGGCUGAGUCAGUCGAUUGUGAAAGCCCUGGGCUUAACCUGGGAAUUGCAGUCGAUACUACUCAGCUAGAGUAUGGGAGAGGGUAGUGGAAUUCCCGGUGUAGCGGUGAAAUGCGUAGAUAUCGGGAGGAACAUCAGUGGCGAAGGCGGCUACCUGGCCCAAUACUGACACUCAGGUGCGACAGCGUGGGGAGCAAACAGGG